rnacentral:rRNA from 1 species
AGCAGCCGCGGUAAUUCCAGCUCCAAUAGCGUAUAUUAAAGUUGUUGCAGUUAAAAAGCUCGUAGUUGAACUUCGGGGUUUACCCAUUGGUCAGGCUUAAUUGUCUGUACUGGUGAGAUAAAUCUCUACCUUCUGAGGAACUUUCAUGUCAUUAAUUUGGUGCGAUUGGAAGUCAGGACUGUUGCUUUGAAAAAAUUUAGAGUGUUUAAAGCAGGCUAACGUCUGAAUACAUUAGCAUGGAAUAAUGAAAUAGGACGGACUGAUUCUAUUUCGUUGGUUUCUAGGAUCACCGUAAUGAUUAAUAGGGAUAGUUGGGGGCAUUAGUAUUCAAUUGUCAGAGGUGAAAUUCUUGGAUUUAUUGAAGACUAACUACUGCGAAAGCAUUUGCCAAGGAUGUUUUCAUUAAUCAAGAACGAAAGUUAGGGGAUCGAAGACGAUC